CAUCUCUGCCGCCCUCGGCCUCCCCCGACCUUCUCUACCGGCCGCCCCCGACCAUCUCUGCCGCCGCCGGCUGCCCCUGAACAUCUCUGCUGGCCUGCUGCCGCCGGCGUUCCUCCCGCCUCUCGUUCGUCGUAUUGGUCGCCGUCGAGCUCGCUGACCUGCGGUCCCGUCCACCGUCUACCUCGCCAUUCCGGUCGCCGUCAUCAUCUCGCAGUGUACUCUGUAGCCAUGGGAUCAGUCAUUCAGUCAGUGUUGGUCCCUGUCAUUCAUUCAGUCAGUGUACUCCCAGGUCAUGCCUUACUUUCAGUGUUGGUUCUGUAGUAGUUCUACGGUGUUGGUCCCUGUCAUUCAGUCAGUGUACAUGAACAAGUACAUGAAGAACUAGAUCAUAUUUGAUUGGAAAUGUUUUAUAUGAA